AAGACACCCCGCUGGGGAAAAUGGUUUGUGCCAGUCUUCCGUUCAUUUCAGCGAAUUAAGAAUUCGGUCCAAUAAGAAAAGGAUUGGUUUCUUCAUUAUUAUAAUUCAGAAGAAGCUUUCCCAUGAAAAUACAUUACGGUUAUUCGACCUUACAAAAAUCGUCCGCCCGUGACGCUUGCUUUGACUUAUUCAAUCGCAGACUGCUUCGCGUUUUCUACACAAAAACACUUCCACCAUCAUGGCGACAACUUAAACCGGAAGAGAAUUCUUCAAAAGGACACAAUAUAUCUUAAUAUUGGAUGAGAAAAUAGUCAGGACAUAAUGCAUCAUUGAAAAUGGUGGAAUCUUCACCACACGCAAACCACCUCCUUUCUACGCCGGCUCUUGUCGGUGUUUGUGCCGCUGUUUUCACAGUUCUAAUCGCGCUGCUAGUGGGUAUAUAUCGCUGCUUUUGUCGUCGUAAAGGAACCGUACCCUUCCCGUCUAUCAGAACACCGCAUGACCAAAGGUCGGGUCGGAUAGCCAUUGCUGUGGGCAGCGCCACGACUAGGUCACCCCUGGUUACGCCAACUAGCGACCGAGAUGUUACCUUCCCGGUGGACAGGAAAGCCUUCUCAUCGAAAUCGUACAGCAGUACGGUGACGUCAUCGAUCGACCCACAGACCAUCAACACACGGUGGUACAUUGAAAAUGAAGGUGAGAAAAAACAACGUCGCCAAGAUGAGGACAGUGUCAUUGCCAUGUUGAAAGAGAAGGGAGAAAAUGAAGAUUUUACGCAACUGGGAUGCCUCUUCUUUUCCGUUGAGUAUGAUUUUGACAAGAACGCUUUUAUGGUUACAAUCCAUAACGCUACGGACCUACCCGUUAAAGACCCGACGACUAAUAGCACCGACCCUUACGUGAAACUCUGUCUGCUCCCGGAGAAAAAACACAAGGUGAAGACCCGAGUAUUACGGAAGACACAAUCCCCGGUCUACGAGGAGACAUUCACGUUCUACGGAUUGCACUACAAUCAGCUCCAAGGAAUCACACUACAUUUUGUCAUUCUUAGCUUUGACCGAUUUUCCCGCGAUGACGUCAUCGGUGAGAUCGUGGUACCAUUGGCUAAUAUCGAUAUGAGUGAGACGGCUGCGCACCUGUCACGAGAAAUUAAAGCACGAAGUCCAAAAAUACCUCGUAACCAAGGGCACGGUGAUUUGUUGGUCUCGUUGUCAUAUCAACCUGCUGCUAAUCGUUUAACAGUCGUUGUACUGAAAGCCCGCAAUUUACCGAAGAUGGACGUGACCGGACUGUCAGAUCCAUACGUCAAGAUCCACUUAAUGUACAGCAACCAGCGGCUUGCCAAGAAGAAGACACGUCUGAAGAAACGGACAUUAAAUCCCGUAUUCAACGAAUCUUCCUCUUCGAUGUCCCCAUGGAAGGCCUGCAAAAUGUCAGCUUGGAGUUUCAGAUUCUCGACCACGACAGAGUCACGAAAAACGAGAUCAUUGGCCGGCUAGUGAUCGGCGCCAAAGCGUGUGCAGAGGACGAAAAACGCCAUUGGAAAGAGAUCAUGGAAAACCCACGAAAGCAAAUUGCAGAAUGGCACAAAUUAAUGGAAUGAUUUGACCAAGGAAUUUGAAGAUAUCAUAUUUUUGUAGUUUGAGUUAUUGUUUCCCCAAACAUUGUAUCCUCAUUUAAUAUUUUGGAAGAGAGUACACCUGUUUACAAUGUGCAUAACCUUUGACCCUAAGACCUAAAGUCACGUGCUCGUUAUUACCAUACAUAUUGUUAUAACUUAACGUUACAUAUCAAUUGUUUUUACAUUUAAAAUGAAAGUUAAGACUUUCAAGAAUGAAAUUUGAGAUCAUGGUUUAGCCGAGUCUACAAUUGAUGUAUAUUCAAUCAAAAAUUAUUUGCCAAAUUAGCUAUCACUGAAACACUGAAAUUAAUUUAAUGUUAUAUCUGUUACAGUUUAGCUUAAUGUUAGGAUUUAUUCUAGUAGUGAAUAAAAAACAUAACAUCGAAGUAGGCGUCAAACGGUCAAAGGUCAACUAAGAUUUGGCGAGCUAAGAUUUAUCAAGAGAGACUCUACGCAAGCGCAAAUCCGAUACGAUACGAUAUACAUAUAUACAUACGAUAUAUAUAAAUAUAUAUAAUAUAUAUUCAAUAACUGUUAUGUAAAUCAGUGUUGUUUGCUCCCUAAAAUAUAAAACAUUGAUUUAAACGAAAAUUAAAAAUAACGAACACACUGACUGACCCGCUCUUUAGAUCACACUCUCGCGUGUGUCACGUGACAAUAUAAGCGUUCCUGUUAAAUACAAGCAUUUUAUUUCAGUUAUAACUUUUACAAUGUUUAAUAUUCUCUUCCACAAAUGAACCCCACAAAGGAAAAUAUAACCGUUCGUCUCACCCAGCAUAUCCUCUUAUUAUUGUCUUGCAUUUUCGCUAGGAAUUGUGGGUAAAUAUGUAAGUGAGAUUCAUCCGUUUUUGUUUUUUAAAACAGUAGUCGAAUGAGAGUUUUGAUCUAGCAUUAAUCAGCUGCAUGAUUCACUAUGUAAUGUUUACAUCUUGGUGUUACGCCGAAGCCGACUCGGAGCCGAGUACCAAGGGAAAACAAUUAAUUUGCUUUUUAUUUAAUUGUUUAUCACAUUUUCGAUUGAUGAGAGAACCAGAAUUCUUUGUAAUCUCGAAUAGGCCAGUAAAAUUGUUGUGUUAUGUUAAUUAUAUGCUGAUAUAUGGAAAUGAUAAGCUGAUUGUUUUUAAAUAUUAACCAAAGUUAAGUUGUAUUUCUGAGGUCCGCGUCGUUUGGGACAAUUUGCACUAUAAGAAGUGGUAGUCUGUUUGGAGAUCAAGUGUACUGCGUUUCGUUUGCAAGUUUAAAUUUCAGUCGUCAAAUCAUCUCGCGAAAUGGUUCAUUUUGAGUAAGGUGCAAAAUGUGCGCAAAUCAAAAAAAAUGUCUCAUAAUGAAAUGAAUUUGAUAACGAAAAGGUCACGCGAAGAAUUGCAUUCUGGAAAAACACACGGGGUAUUUAGGGCGUUGAAGGAAAAGUCGUCGAGAAAUGUGUUCUAAAACUUAUAUUCCAUCAUUAUGCAAAUUUCUGUUUCUAAUAUAUUACCAUCCUCAUAUGUAUACACUAGUUUAAACAGAUGAAACAACAUGACUCCUUUUACAAUCAUAAACUAUCCAAAGCUCCGUGGGCCAAUACUUUCUGUGUGUAAGACACCCUUUGACAUGGCUAAAAUCAACCAAUAUUAUAUUAAAAUGACCUUUCACACCGUACUCACGAGCCGUUACCAUAGUAAUGAUUUCAGGGAGCAAAUAUUCAUAAUAUACAACCGAGUUGUAUUGUAGAUAAAUAUAGAAAUAAUGUAAAUGUUUAUAUUUAAAGUUUUUAAUUACUGUGGAAUAGUAGUUUUGCAAUUAUUGUAUAAGACAUGUACUUUAUUUCAUGUAACUUGUUUGUUAUUUGACACAUGGUUACCUGCCGUCUGCUCAUCAUUGUCGGCCAUAUUAACAGGAAGUUAACAUUAACAGGAAGUGAUGUCAUCGCUACUAGUUUGUUAAACAGGCACGGAAUAUUUAUAAGAUAAAUUAUCUAGUCUAUGAACAUUGUCCGGAAGGUAGAAUUGUUAUAAUCUAAAUGAUAAUUGUGCUGUUGUUAAUAUUCCUAGACUACCUGUCGUCUACCCAAGGUUAUCGGCCAUCUUAUUGGUGACCUCAAAACAAGUUAAUGGAGAUAAUAUUUUAUGAAGAUUUGUUUGUCAAUAUUUUUAUUUUUACACAGUGUAUAUAAGAACGUUUCUCUAAGAUUGAAAUGAUGCCAAAUGAAAGCUAUACUUUGUGAAAGAGUGGUGGAAAUUCAUUGACGAGUAUGACAAUAUGCUAUUAAUAGUAUUGUUUUACAAUUUAAUAACGCAAAUGGGGUUGAUCAGUUUCAGUCGGAGAACAUACUUGUCGUUAACUCGUGGUCCAGUAGGUUAUAUACAAACUGAGAACUUCCAAGUCUUUCAUAUGUCUGUCACAACACUCGCUGAAAGUCUAGGAGAUUAUAACAUGCGAUUUCUAAAAUGGCAUCGUUAUCGAUAAGAAUAAACAAAACAUGAAUUAUUAUUUAUUUAUAUUUUAAUCAACCUCCAAAACAAGCUUAAUUACACACUAUUUUAAGCAAUGUAAAAGCCACUGUUAUCCACGUAGUCGCGAUUUUUUUAUUUUCAGGCGUUUGUUAGAUCUGUGAUGCGUGUCCAAUUGGGCGCGUGUGGUGACGAUGUGGGUUAAUAUAUUCAAAGGUUAAUUUAUGCAAGAACUUUGAUACGACUUGAAAUGAUACACAUCCUGCUGCGCUGCCUGAUAAGGUAGCAGUGACAAGUCAGACGGCUAGACACAUUAAAGAAAUCGACAGCGACGUAAAAAACAUUACGUAUAUGUCUACGUCCAUGUCGCCAUGGAAAUAGAGACCGUGUCAAUUUCUUUUGUUCACCAUCACAAUAAUUACAUUGCUUGUUAACUAGUCGUAAGAGCCGACAAUAUGUAAAUAUGUUUUUUUGAUCCCAACUGUUAAUUAACGUGUGGUUCCAGUGUGCUUGGUCGACUGUGUAUCAAUUCAUUCACACGACAGUGUAACCCUGCCCUUUUCAAAUCAGAUAUCCUUAAUUUCAUCCAAGAUUGACAUUUACAAAUUUUAAGACAAGUUCGGUUCUUCCGUUGCAUGCCAUGGUUUAACGAAAUGCCAUUUCCAACCGUAUUAUAAAAACUUCAACAGUGUAUAUUGCUUCAUAUUGUAAUCAUGUUAAUAAACAAAGUGGUAUAAAUGUUAUCAGCUGCA